rnacentral:rRNA from 1 species
AGCGAACGCUGGCGGCGUGCUUAACACAUGCAAGUCGAGUGCGCGUUCCGUAGCAAUACGGAAUGGCGCACGGCGCACGGGUGCGUAACACGUGGGUAAUCUGCCCUUCGAUGGGGAAUAACCUCGCGAAAGCGAGGCUAAUUCCGCAUAACAUUCCGGGAACCCUGGUUCUUGGAUUCAAAGGCGUAAGUCGUCGGAGGUGGAGCCCGCGCACGAUUAGCUAGUUGGUAGGGUAAUGGCCUACCAAGGCUAUGAUCGUUAGCUGGUCUGAGAGGAU